ACACUUUCCUUUCCUAACAUUAAGAGCUCCUUCAUUUCUUGCUGAGCUCACUUUGACUUUUGCUUCAGCCCUCUUCUGUAGAAGUUGAACUCCAGUGAUCUGGUGCAUUCUCAGACAAAUUAUUUAAAUUUUAUCUUGCUACUCAUUAAGGUGCAGGUAAGCUAUCAUUUCACUGGGGAACACAGUAAUUUAAUUUGAUUCUUGCAUAAAAUUUUUUAAAGCCACCACAGAGUAAAUGACAGUCUGCUAUUUCAGUCGUUUUACUGAAACAGACAGAAUCCUUCUUUUGAGAAGAUAUGCAUAGAAGUUUUCAGCAAUUUUGCAAGAACAGAUCAGGCAUCAUUUCAGUCCCAGAAAACAAAGCAGAGAUGAGCUGGAAAGCUCAGUUUCCACUGUGGUUAUCACCAACAGAGCUGUAUCAAUGAAGCUGAAGAUUACACAUGGACGAAACAAUCAAAGCAAUAGCAAAAAAGCCAUGGGUCUACAGGAGCUAAGCAGAAGUCAGAAAUGCCAGGCACAAGAGUUCAGUGUGAAUGGAAAAAAACAUACCAGGAAAAUUCUGCAAUUUUCCCAAAGGAUUUCUGAACAGAAUGGAUUCUGUUUAGUGAAUGGGCCAAACUACUGAAAGGGACCAAUGUCCUUGCUUGAAGAAGGAAUGUGUGUAGAGAAAAGGCAGAAGAUUACAGAAAGAGAAGCAUAGGUUUGAUGAUAAAAGCAACUGAGGAACACAGGCCUGCUCUUGCCUUCAUCUCACCAUCUCCAUGUGAUCUGGGCAAGUUCCUUAAACCAGAUUUUUCACAAGUGAUGAGAAUUUUCUGAGUACCCUCCUACAAGAAAUCUUGACUAUAAGCUGCUUUAUACAUAUACCUUAGGAUAAGAUGCCUCAUGUUCCCCAAGCAUAUAUUUCUUAUCCUUAUAGUCAGCUUGUUCAGAUGCAUGUAUUUUCAGUGCAGAUGGCUAAAGUCUGGAGAAAUGAAUGCCAUCUGCAGAGCUUGAUUCAGAAAAACACGGAGCUCUCAGCUGCGACAGGAAGCACUGGAGGCUAACAGUGAAUGUAGACACUUAUAGGAAAUGUUAAACAAUCUCUUUAACAAAAAUCCAU